rnacentral:rRNA from 1 species
ACUCCUACGGGAGGCAGCAGUGGGGAAUCUUAGACAAUGGGGGCAAGCCCUGAUCUAGCCAUGCCGCGUGAGUGACGAAGGCCUUAGGGUCGUAAAGCUCUUUCGCCAGGGAAGAUAAAUGACGGUACCUGGUAAAGAAGUCCCGGCUAACUCCGUGCCAGCAGCCGCGGUAAUACGGAGGGACUAGCGUUGUUCGGAAUUACUGGGCGUAAAGAGUUCGUAGGCGGAUAAGCAAGUAA